UUGGUUAGAAAUCAACUCAGGUCAUUUCCGCAAUGGUUAUGGCAUCAAGGCCCGCCACGCCGGCAGCGGGCCCCAACGGCAGAAGACUCUGCCCGACCCCACCACGGGGUCUCAGGGAUAUUACAGUCAAC
rfam:Pseudomonas syringae pv. spinaceae strain ICMP16929 PspICMP16929_Contig_199, whole genome shotgun sequence.